AGCGAACGCUGGCGGCAGGCCUAACACAUGCAAGUCGAACGAACCUUUCGGGGUUAGUGGCGGACGGGUGAGUAACACGUGGGAACGUGCCUUUAGGUUCGGAAUAACUCAGGGAAACUUGUGCUAAUACCGAAUGUGCCCUUCGGGGGAAAGAUUAAUCGCCUUUAGAGCGGCCCGCGUCUGAUUAGCUAGUUGGUUGAGGUAAUGGCUCACCAAGGCGACGAUCAGUAGCUGGUCUGAGAGGAUGAUCAGCCACAUUGGGACUGAGACACGGCCCAAACUCCUACGGGAGGCAGCAGUGGGGAAUCUUGCGCAAUGGGCGAAGGCCUGACGCAGCCAUGCCGCGUGAAUGAUGAAGGUCUUAGGAUUGUAAAUUCUUUCACCGGGGACGAUAAUGACGGUACCCGGAGAAGAAGCCCCGGCUAACUUCGUG
rnacentral:rRNA from 1 species